GACCGAAUUUUUAUAUACCUUGAAAUCUAGGAUGAAGUAUGCUCUGGAUUUGCUACGCAAUUAUUAUUACCGUGUGUGAACGAAACCACAACAUACGAAAACUGUAAAGAAUGAAAAGGACGAAAACAACAUUUUUUGUCUUUGUCAUAGUUUGUCAUCAGUUGAGUCCGAUAUUUACUUCGUGAAUUUAUGUGAUUUAAGUGACUUACGGUAAUAUAAGUGGUGAAACUAAAACGUAGUUGAGCGUUGUAUGAGACUUAUCAUGGUAAUAUGUUAUAUAAUCGGCUGUAAAAGCCGUAUUGAGCAGAAAUUACGAGACAUAACCUUUCAUACAUUUCCAAAGGACUCUGCAAUUCGCCAAUUAUGAAUUCGUGCCACUGGGCGACAAAACUGGCAACCAACCAAACAUACUCGGAUAUGCUGUAGGCAUUUUAAACAAAGUUGUUAAAUCAAUAAGUUAAAAAUAUUUUAAUGUUCGUAUUCAUUAUGCAACAAAAUCUUUUACAAACAAAAGUGACAACAUAAGAAAUAUGUACCCAAAUUAAUUAUAUUCAAAGGACAAUAAAAACUUAAAUUUGGA